rnacentral:rRNA from 1 species
UACGUAGGUGGCAAGCGUUGUCCGGAUUUAUUGGGUUUAAAGGGUGCGUAGGCGGCUUUGUAAGUCAGUGGUGAAAUAUGGCAGCUUAACUGUCAAGGUGCCAUUGAUACUGCAGAGCUUGAGUACAGAUGAGGUAGGCGGAAUUGACGGUGUAGCGGUGAAAUGCUUAGAUAUCGUCAAGAACACCUAUAGCGAAGGCAGCUUACUAGCUGUAACUACGCUGAGGCACGAAAGUGUGGGGAUCAAACAGG